rnacentral:tRNA from 1 species
GCGCCCGUAGCUCAAAGGAUAGAGCGCUUCGCUUCGGACGAAGAGGUUGGGGGUUCGAGUCCCUCCGGGCGCA